CACAAAUAUUGUGUUUUAACAAUUCAAAUUUUCUUUCUGGCAAUGAUUUGCUAGCAAUGUGAGUCAGCUUCCUUAAGGUCCACUUUUCCUUUCUGGAAUUUAAACUGAAACUGAAAGUUGGCAACAGUGUCUUCCUCUCCAGGCCAAUCCCUGCAGUGGGAUGUGGGUCUCCUUGAUGACGGCCCCUCUGUCCACACCAAAACCCUUGCCGACCAUUGCAAAAGGCUGAGAGUUUUGAAUUCUCUGUCCCUAAGAAAGAAAGGAAAACAGGGAGAUCUUCACGAUUAUAAACUGAACCCUGGAACACCCCUCCUGUCCUUCCCCGAACAGGCCUGUGCCCCCUGCUCAUUCUCCAGGUGCACCCCAAAUCAAGAAAGCUCAAAUUCCAGUGAUGAGACUGGGUGCUUCCACUUGGAAGCUGAGAGACAUCUUCUGUCUUCUGCUUCCCUGCAAGUCUUGGGCCUCCAAUUAGUGGAGAGGGAAAGUGUCGCAGACGUGGGUGUGGCAGGAGCCCAGGUGGAGCCUCUGGUGGAGCGGAGGAGAGAGAUGAUGCUGCCUUUCCCAAGAACAAGCUCACAGUGCUGCCCAAAAGGCUCCUGGAGAGGUGACUUUGCCCAACAGGCCCCAAGUUGCUUACUUUCUCAGUCCUCAGGUUUUCACAGGGAAGAGACCCGCCACCCUCACUGCCCCCACCUCACCCAGGAGGACUGAGACUUCAUUUGCUCUUCUCCUCCUUCGCUGGGUCCAUUCCACAGUGCUAGUCUGAGAGGUGUGGUGUUGGGGGAAGACAUAAAGGAGGUGUUUAGCCUUCUGAGGUGUGGUAGGGUAGGGGUGUUGAUAAAGCCAGAGCCCCUCCUGUAAGGUAGGACUGGGUUCAGGGGACACUGACUUGGAUUGUAAUGCCUGAGGCCUCAGGGAAGGGCUCUGAUCUCAGGCAAGACAGGGCUGGGCUCGGGGAGGAGCUGGAUCCCUGAAUUUUUGUGAGGAGAUGUUUAUUUCAUGAAUGUGUGUGUAUGAGGUCCCUCUGUAUCCCCGCCAAUACUCUGGGCCUGUCUCUGUGACUCACUCAUAGUAGAAGGGGAGGGUGUGGUUGGUGGGGUUUGGUUGAGCUUACCGUGCCCCCAGGGGAUGAGAGAGGCACUCUUGGGGAACCCCCAGUAGGCGGGGUGCUGGUCUCUCUCUACCUCCUGCAUCUGCCUGGUGGUGCCUCCUCUGGAUCCCCAGCAUCUCCUCGUUUCUUCAGGCCUCCCCCUUCUCCCUUGAGCCCUUAUGUCCCAUGUGAUAUUUUAGCUAGUUCCCAUCCCAUCCAAGGAGGCUGCUAUCUGGCUCUGGCUGGGAAAUAAACAUGUGCUUUUGCUACCAACAUCAGAAUUGUGUUGUUUGUCUCAAAAGAGCACCAUACUGGGGCAGCAGGUGAAGCACAGGAAGUUCUGGAAAACAUCAACUGUCACACUCAUCUCCAGGGAGAAUAUCCUUAUAGGAACCCUGUGGAGAGGCCAGUGUGCAUCUGUGAGAGGCAGGUGGGAAAUUCACAGGAUCUGAGUCAGGAGAGGAGGGUGACUACUCA
rnacentral:lncRNA from 1 species